GACGAACGCUGGCGGCGUGCUUAACACAUGCAAGUCGAGCGGUAAGGCCCUUUCGGGGGUACACGAGCGGCGAACGGGUGAGUAACACGUGGGUGACCUGCCCUCAGCUCUGGGAUAAGCCUGGGAAACUGGGUCUAAUACCGGAUAUGACUCCAUGACGCAUGUUGUGGGGUGGAAAGCCUUGUGCGGCUGAGGAUGGGCCCGCGGCCUAUCAGCUUGUUGGUGGGGNGAUGGCCUACCAAGGCGACGACGGGUAGCCGGCCUGAGAGGGCGACCGGCCACACUGGGACUGAGACACGGCCCAGACUCCUACGGGAGGCAGCAGUGGGGAAUAUUGGACAAUGGGCGCAAGCCUGAUCCAGCGAUGCCGCGUGUGUGAAGAAGGCCUGCGGGUUGUAAAGCACUUUCAGUAGGGAAGAAAGCCGAGUGCUAAUAUCACUCGGUCUUG
rnacentral:rRNA from 1 species